GAUGAACGCUGGCGGCGUGCUUAACACAUGCAAGUCGAACGAAGCACUUUGAAGUUUUCGGACAGAUGAGUGACUGAGUGGCGGACGGGUGAGUAACGCGUGAGUAACCUGCCUCAUACAGGGGGAUAACAGUUAGAAAUGACUGCUAAUACCGCAUAAGCGCACGGUAUCGCAUGAUAAAGUGUGAAAAACUCCGGUGGUAUGAGAUGGACCCGCGUCUGAUUAGCUAGUUGGUGGGGUAAUGGCCUACCAAGGCGACGAUCAGUAGCCGGCCUGAGAGGGUGAACGGCCACAUUGGGACUGAGACACGGCCCAAACUCCUACGGGAGGCAGCAGUGGGGAAUAUUGCACAAUGGGGGAAACCCUGAUGCAGCGACGCCGCGUGAGUGAAGAAGUAUUUCGGUAUGUAAAGCUCUAUCAGCAGGGAAGAAAAUGACGGUACCUGACUAAGAAGCACCGGCUAAAUACGUGCCAGCCGCCGCCGUAACAC
rnacentral:rRNA from 1 species